AAGGUACUCCCUCCAUUCAAAAAUACUUAUCGGGUAAAUGGAUACAAAUAGAUGUAUUUAGAAUUAAAAUACAUCUAGAUAUAUUAAUUCUUAUGACAAGUAUUUUUGGACGAAGGGAGUAGUAU
rfam:Hordeum vulgare subsp. vulgare, WGS project CAJW01000000 data, contig: morex_contig_1559858